GAGGGGGGCUGCUCCUAGUACGAGAGGACCGGAGUGGACGCAUCACUGGUGUUCGGGUUGUCAUGCCAAUGGCAUUGCCCGGUAGCUAAAUGCGGAAGAGAUAAGUGCUGAAAGCAUCUAAGCACGAAACUUGCCCCGAGAUGAGUUCUCCCUGAGACUUUAAGUCUCCUGAAGGAACGUURAAGACKAYGACGUUGAUAGGUCGGGUGUGUAAGUGUAGCGAUACAUUGAGCUAACCGAUACUAAUGAACCGUGAGGCUUAACCUUACAACGCCGAAG
rnacentral:rRNA from 1 species